rnacentral:rRNA from 1 species
UACGGAGGGUGCAAGCGUUAUCCGGAUUUACUGGGUUUAAAGGGUGCGUAGGUGGGUAGGUAAGUCAGUGGUGAAAUCUUCAAGCUUAACUUGGAAACUGCCAUUGAUACUAUUUAUCUUGAAUACUUUGGAGGUAAGCGGAAUAUGUCAUGUAGCGGUGAAAUGCUUAGAUAUGACAUAGAACACCAAUUGCGAAGGCA